CACGUAGGGUGCGAGCGUUUGUCCGGAAUUAUUGGGCGUAAAGAGCUCGUAGGCGGUGUGUCGCGUCGGCCGUGAAAACCUGGGGCUUAACCCUGAGCUUGCGGUCGAUACGGGCAUGACUGGAGUUCGGCAGGGGAGACUGGAAUUCCUGGUGUAGCGGUGGAAUGCGCAGAUAUCGGGAGGAACACCUAUAGCGAAGGCAGCUUGCUGGGACGUUACUGACGCUAAGGCGCGAAAGCGUGGGGAGCGAACAGG
rnacentral:rRNA from 1 species